rnacentral:rRNA from 1 species
CCAGAGGUGUACGACCUGUAUGCCAUGGCCCACACUGGCUCUUACAAAAAAGUCAAGGCAUUCUCUGCGUCUGACCUCGAUGAUCCAAAAAACUUCACCAACAUCUCCUCCCACGACAAGCUCGUGAGAUAUAGAGAUGAGGGGAAGGCGUGGAAAGGGGAGGACUUUAACCUGAGCCAAGGUCCCAUUGAUACAGAGCUGCUGAUGAUAUCUGGUGGUGGGAGGUCCCAUGGCUCCAUAGCCAUGGGAGAUGGACUUAUCCGUUGUCCUAGCACUCUCCCGGAGAUCAAGGCGCGUCAGUCGAGCUCCGCUCCUGAGAUAAGGCCUCGUGAACGGCCAGUCCAACUCGCCUUCAAG